UCCUGUUAUAGAACUGUCCUUCCCAAAGAGUACUCUGCCAUUGCAGUGAACUGGACUGAACAUCCUGAGAGAAACCUAGCAAGACUUUCUGCUGUGGAACACAGGAUUGAUACAUGCAACACUCAUCCCUCUCCUGCUACUCGAGGAAAUCCAAGGAUGUUAUCACGUUGCACAUCAUAUCCAUCCUUGGAUCUAUUCAAGAUGUGAGCAAUUUGGUCUGCUCCCAUUGCUGACCAACUUUCAGGAGGUUGGAAAACAAAGCUCCUUAGCUAUCUUUCACUUUGAAUUAUGACAUGAACUUCCAAAUUUUUAGAUCACAUGAAGUUAUCCAGAAAUGACUUUGUUUAAGGAUCCAAACUGUAAACCACUGAUUUUUCUUUGCAGAAGUGAAGAAACAGAUUCCACUUUAGAAGAACACAUGUGUCAGGUACUUGUGCUCACAGAUUCUUAUGCUUUGGCAAAUUUUGUAGUAUUUUCUGGAUAAUUUUUAUCAAAGCAGAAGGGAACUGUGGGUAUUUUUAGAGAGGUUUGGGCUUUUUUUUUUUUUUUUUUUUUCUUCUUUCAAUCUCCCCAAAUCCAGUGGAAAUAUGUAACACAAACUUGGUUUCACUUAUAAUUUCUGAGAGCAACCCAUUGUUAAUAAACACCUUAACCAGCCUGUGACUGUUCACUCAACACGUGCUCAGAUUUUGGAUAACCCACAGCUGUAAGUCUAAGGCCAUGUGUAUGCUGGCAGCAGCAUCACUCAGUCAAAGUGAGAGCAACGCAUGAGCAGGACACAAUGGACAGGAAAGGCCAAAGCUCAUUAAGCACCUGUUACCACCUGCAUCUCAAUGUCUCCUGCAGCCAUUACCCUCAAAUGGAUUAUCUGGCAGCUUCUUCAGGGUAUAGUGACUCAUGGACAUGGUGUAGACCAUGGCUGUCCAACCUUCUGGCUUACCUGGGCUGCACUGAGUGAAAAGGAAUUGUCUUGGACUGUGUACAAAAUAUAUAAUAUAGUUAAUGUCUAUAAGUAACAAAACUUCUUUUAUUUUUUAAUAUUUUUAAUUAAAACAAACAAACAAACAAAAAAAGAUAACAAUAAAGACAUAAAACUAGUGAGAUAUUUGAGUUUGUUUUUGUUAAACUAAUGUACCAGUCUGGUUCAGUGGAAGUGGUUGAAGUUUUUAGUCAGUUCUCAAGGUGUUCAUCAAAGAUUUUUGAUGAAAAUUUACUCUUCCUCUGCUGCAUCCUCGAAAAUCUUUGUUCAGAGGCAUGAUUGUGAAGUGAGUGAUAUUUUUCUCUGGUAAGAUAGUUCUUGUAAAGAGACAUAAUCAGAUUUUUUAGUUCAAUAUAUGAUUACAACUCUAUACAUUCCAUUUGAAAAUUUGCAUGUAAUGUGUUUAUGUUGACUGAGAAUGGAGUCGCAAAUAUACAAAAUAAAAGAUUAUUUCUUUG
rnacentral:lncRNA from 7 species